rnacentral:rRNA from 1 species
UACGGGGGGGGCAAGCGUUGUUCGGAAUUACUGGGCGUAAAGGGCUCGUAGGCGGCCAACUCAGUCGGACGUGAAAUCCCUCGGCUUAACCGGGGAAUGGCGUCCGAUACUGGAUGGCUUGAGUGUGGGAGAGGGAUGCGGAAUUCCAGGUGUAGCGGUGAAAUGCGUAGAUAUCUGAAGGAACGCCGGUGGCGAAAGCGAUCCGCUGGACCUCUUCUGACGCUGAGGCGCGAAAGCCAGGGGAGCAAACGGG